rnacentral:lncRNA from 1 species
AUAAAGUCUUUUAAAAUUCGUUUCAAAAUUUCAAAAAGUUCAUAAAUGUCCAAAGAUCUAAACUAGGCAGUGAGAUCUACAUAAUCAUCAUCACUCUUGUCGACGGUGUCAUCGGGAGCGGAAGUAGUAGGUCGACGAGCGAGGUUCAUCACUUGUUCUUUGAUUUGCUGAACGGUCUCACUCAUGCUUGCUUGUUCAGCUACUCUUCUCCGCUCUGACUCUGCUAGUGCCGCUAUAAGUUUAGCUAUUUG